rnacentral:lncRNA from 1 species
AUUGCCUCCGUGGUUUAGUAGCAGCGCUAUGAUAUCUUUGCGGCCUUGUUUGGCCGCUUCAUGCAUUGCUGACCAUCGCUUGAUGCAGGGCUGGUCAAGGCUGGCAUUGUGUUUAAGCAGAGUGAACACCAUGUCGUAGGAGCCCUUUUUUACAGCUGGAGGAUGAUUUCAAAAAGAACAUCAACAGUAGGCAUAUUGGCAUGGAUACUUUAGAUGGUAUGAAACGUUAUUAAAUUUAUUUUUUAAUUUUUAAAAAUGUUUAUUUAUUUUUGAGAGAGAGAGAGAACAAGCAGGGGAGGGGCAGAGAGAGAGGGAGAAAGACGAUCCAAAAAGGGCUCUGUGCUGACAGCAAACAGCACGAUGCUGGGCUCGAACUCCCCAACCAUGAGAUCAUAACCUGAGCCAAAGUCGGAUGCUUAACUGAGUGAGCCAACCAAGUGCCCCUAACUACUAAAUUUAAUGCCAAAAUAGAUAUUACCUAUUCCUUCUUCUUCUAUAAGAAAAUAUUGUAGUUUUCAUACUCCUUCUAUUUUUCACACCCAAGAUGAUGUCUUUUCAAGACCCUGGUCUGAGGAGGAUAAGACUUUCAUGGAAAUCAUGCACAUCUCUAAAAUUGGAUGUUAUGUAUACUCUUUCUAAACUUUAGAAAAUGAAAAUAAGUGAAAUGAAAAUAACAUCCUCUGUUGGGUUGUAUAAAUUAAAUAAUGUAUGCAAAUGCUUAGUAUAUACUAGGAGCUCAAUAAAUUAUAACUAUUAUUAUUAAUAUAAUUUCAUCACUUCUAGGAUCCUGGAGCCACAUGUGUGAAUAAUGUUUAUCAAGUCCCCUCAUCACCCCCCAGAAACAUUUUUUUUCCUCCACCAAAGAUAGCAGCACGUAUUAAAUGAACUUCUCUUUCCUGUGGUCUUAAUGGGAGGUUAGCAACGAGAAGGUCUAGAAUCCAGGUAGGUCCAAUGUUCUAAAUAGGUGAAGUCUAUGAUAGCUAAUGUACUGCAGUGUAGGGGAUUCACUAGACUGUAUGUCGCUCUCCCCCUCUGCUUGUUUCUAAUAGAUGAAAUUACAAGUAAAAUUUCCCCCAACUCGGCUUUGGAUUAUUUAAGAGAUUGUCCCAAUUUAGGUAUAAAUAAUUCUGGAAGACGUAAUGUCUCUUAUCAGUAAGUCAAAUCUUAGUAAGAAACAGAGAAGGACGAGUGCUACUCCCUGCAAAUGGAGGUAAAUACAAUUACAUUCACUCACUCAUUUGUUCAUUCAUUCAUUCAUUCAUUCAGUUGAUAUGCUCUGGCUAUACGAGAGGCACUGUGCUGGAUCCUGUGGACAACGGGGAAAAGAUGGACUUGGUUCUCACUCAUGCAAUUGACAAUUUAGGGAAGAAGCCUAUAUUGUCUUCCAUUUGAAGAGAGACUCAAAGUCCAGGUCUUUGCUGGGAAAUACAGGACGAGAUGGGGUGGGCAUAUAGAACAUCUUGGGGAGCAAGGGGGCAGAAUACAGAAAGCAUGUCAGGCCAAAGCAAGGGAAAGGGCCUUCAAAGGCAUGAUAAGAGGAUGAAGACUUAAUUUGGAGGCAGGCAAGCCAUCACU